AUUGAACGCUGGCGGCAGGCUUAACACAUGCAAGUCGAGCGGGGACUUCGGUCCUAGCGGCGAACGGGUGAGGAAUGCUUGGGAAUCUGCCCAGUAGCGGGGGAUAACGUUUCGAAAGGAACGCUAAUACCGCAUACGCCCUACGGGGGAAAGGGGGGGAUCUUCGGACCUCCCACUAUUGGAUGAGCCCAAGUCGGAUUAGCUAGUUGGUGGGGUAAAGGCCUACCAAGGCGACGAUCCGUAGCUGGUCUGAGAGGAUGAUCAGCCACACUGGAACUGAGACACGGUCCAGACUCCUACGGGAGGCAGCAGUGGGGAAUAUUGGACAAUGGGCGAAAGCCUGAUCCAGCCAUGCCGCGUGUGUGAAGAAGGCCUUCGGGUUGUAAAGGACUUUUGUCGGGGAGGAAAUCCCCAGCGUUAAUACCGCGGGGGGAUGACAGUACCUGAAGAAUAAGCACCGGCUAACUACGUGCCAGCAGCCGCCGUAAUAC
rnacentral:rRNA from 1 species